UGCCAAAUGAGAAAAUUCCCUUUUCCAUCAAAAAUAUCAAGUUCAAAAGUGCUUUUGUCAUGUUUUAUUGUUGAAAAAUUAACGCACAGUAUUUCCAAAAAGUUAAAACAAGACAGAUGAUAUACUUUUGAAAAUCUGUUGAAUUUGACCAUCGCAAAAAAUGAUGUUUUAGAUCACAUAAAAAUAAAAUGCAAUCUGAUGAAUAAGUCACAAUUAUUCCUCGUUACAAAAAAAUUCAGCAAUGUCAGGAUCAAUUAUUAUAUCAAUGUAAACACUACAAGAACCAAGGAAUUAAUACAAAAUAGGCAGAAUCAAUAUCUCAGGUGCAGAAAUAAAAGUCUGCAGUAGCACAAGAGUAAUCAAAUUCACCAGGAUUCCAUGAGAAUCAAGUUCUCAAGUCAAUGCUCAAUUUGAAUCACCCAAAUUAAACUAUCACAGGCAAAUAUAACUAGAUAUCACUCACUGAUGUAACAAGUUACAAUGCACAGCAGUUAAAACAUAUCAAGAGAGAGGCAUCAACAGGUAUAUUUAGUGUUAGGCGUGUGUGUGUAAUCGUGUAGGGAUCAAGAAUUGCAAACCGAAGGGUGGUUAAUUGAUUAACCACCAACACAGAUCAAGAAUCGAUUAUCGCAACCAAGAGAGAGCGUUUUCCAAUUUACCAAAUCACAGGUCGAGUCCUUACAGUUUCAAGAUUUAGGUGCUUUUCCAGAUCGAGGCUAGAAGUCACAAAACUACCUCGUUUUCCACAGUCCAGGUUCAGAAUAGCUCAACAAACCACUAGAUCGACGCAGAUCUAGACCCAGGGUUUCGCGAUCUGACGUCGAACGCCUGAAAAUUGAUUUUCUAGUGUUUGAACUCCGAUCGAAGACUUAAG
rnacentral:lncRNA from 1 species